UUGAAUUAAGAUGAAGCUAAUUGAUGAAGAUAUCAAUUGAAUGGCCACCGAGUGCAUCACUGCUACCUGAACCCAUCAGUUAUCUGCUGUGAAGACUGCAUUCACAAACCGCUCUACUGCGACAGCUCAGAUGUUACGGCCUGCAAAGUAAACAUCACAGCUAAACAACGAGAGCUAGUUGUGGUGGGAUUCUUUUGGCCAAUAUCCCCAACAAGAAUCAAUGACAUCUAGACCAGGUGGAGUGUGAGGAGGACCGUCAGAGACUCCAGCCAGCCGAGCCAUGGAUUGCUCUCACUGUUACCAUCAGGCAGACGUUAUCACAGAACCUACACCAGCAGACAGUGAGACAAGUUCCUUUCACAGGCAAUCAGACUGAACUGAACUCAUACCAGUAAAACCAUACACACCCCACCAACCUCAUAUGCCCUGCACUCUUAUCAGUUAUGCUGACUGGACUCAAUAUUAUUAUGCACCCUGACAUUCUGUUUGCACUAAUUCAUACCGUGCUUUACUGCAGAGAUGUAUGUGUACUGUGAUUAUUAUUGUUUUCAAUUCAUGCUCUCUGUAUAGCAUAAUUUUUAACAUAUAUUGUUCUCUACCUGAAUUGAGUCCCUUAUAUAUGUGUGUUGCAUAUAUAUAUAUUCAGAAUUUGUAUUUCAUAUAUAUUCAUGAAUUAAUUCAUUUGUCAUCCAUACUGUCACGCUGCAGUCUGCACCCAAGACUUUCAUCACCUGUAUACUUGUGUUCAUUGUAUUGUGACAAUAAAGAUAUUUGAUUUAAAUUA